rnacentral:tRNA from 1 species
AGGCACGUAGCUCAGUUGGUUAGAGCACCACCUUGACAUGGUGGGGGGUCGUUGGUUCGAGUCCAAUCGCGCCUACCA